rnacentral:tRNA from 1 species
UCCCUGGUGGCUUAGACGGUAAAGCGUCUGCCUGCAAUGCAGGAGAUCUGGGUUCGAUCCCUGGAUUGGGAA